rnacentral:lncRNA from 1 species
CACAUAGCUACUUCCACAACUGAUUUAGGAGGUAAUGUCAUGUUGAUUCCUUUCUUUUUCUAGUUUUAGUUACUGAAUUCUCUGGGACAACUGCUGUAUCUAGAACUUCCCGCACAGAGGCCACAACUUUAACAGAAGGCCGCAGCAUUCCUCUGUCUGGAUCCAGCCCAGGUACCACUCCAGCAUCAGGAGGCCAAGCAACUGUGAGCCUGACAGGUGAAGAAGAGGGAAAACCACCCUGUUUCUUUGUCUGGGAGUGAAUGUAUGGAAUUCAGUGGAGGGUCCUCAGUUUGGGCACAUUACUAUUCCUCUUGCUUUGUUAGUGAUAUAGGC